GAUGAACGCUGGCGGCGUGCCUAAUACAUGCAAGUCGAGCGAACAGACGAGGAGCUAGCUCCUCUGACGUUAGCGGCGGACGGGUGAGUAACACGUGGAUAACCUACCUAUAAGACUGGGAUAACUUCGGGAAACCGGAGCUAAUACCGGAUAAUAUAUUGAACCGCAUGGUUCAAUAGUGAAAGACGGUUUUGCUGUCACUUAUAGAUGGAUCCGCGCCGCAUUAGCUAGUUGGUAAGAUAACGGCUUACCAAGGCAACGAUGCGUAGCCGACCUGAGGGGGUGAUCGGCCACACUGGAACUGAGACACGGUCCAGACUCCUACGGGAGGCAGCAGUAGGGAAUCUUCCGCAAUGGGCGAAAGCUUGACGGAGCAACGCCGCGUGAGUGAUGAAGGUCUUCGGAUCGUAAAACUCUGUUAUUAGGGAAGAACAAAUGUGUAAGUAACUAUGCACGUCUUGACGGUACCUAAUCAGAAAGCCACGGCUAACUACGUG
rnacentral:rRNA from 1 species